CUUUGGUCGAUCCUGCCGUGUUAUUCUUCUCAAACAUGCUAAAGAAAGGGAUGAUACAAUCAAUCCAACUGUUACCUUUGGUAUGCUUUUUGGAUGGACUAAUCUGAAGAUGCUGGCUAGCUUGCACCGCCAUCAUACAGUCUAGAAGAAAAGGCAAGGAUUACAGGGAAAAUAAAGGCAAUUCGCCAUCCGGAGAGCUGCCAACUAAUACAUUUUUGUACUUCCUCUGUUACAGAGGUUGCUCCCGCCGAGAAAGCACAGUAAACUCAGAUGAUUUAAUUAGAAAAUACUCUUCAGCAUCUGAAACAUCUAAAGGCCGUCACUCAACUAAGUAUCUUAUAAAAUAUACACAUCUGGAAGAUUGGAGCAGU